ACCAUAGCUCAUGGUUUGCCUCUGCCCACACCAUCUCUCUCUCUUUCCAUCGUAAAACAUCAUUAUUACCACAAUGACACCACCCCGCUCUCCCUUGCUCUCUCUCCAAUGUGAUGUGCAAGUUUCUCCCCCCCCACUCAUAAGCUAUCCUUGCAAUCUUGGUCGCCGCCGCCGCCCACAUUCAAAACUUGGAGGUAUAUUACACACUUCUUUUUUAUCAAUUUAAUAUAUUUUUGGUUAAUUUGUGCUAAUGGUUGAUUUUGAUUAUUUUAAGAUUUAGAAUUAGAGUUUUUUUAAAAAUAGAUUUUUUAUUAAUUAGGUUUAAAUUAUGAUAAAUAAUAGUCAAAUAAUAGAUAUAUAUAUAUAUAUAUAUAUAUAUGAAUAUUUGAUGGUUAGGGCAUGAAUGUCUAAAUUUUUUUUCUAAUGUGUAAUAAAUAGGGUAUGGAUAUAGAGAAACUUGACCCGUGAAUAUUUAUUAUUAUUUUUAUUGGUGGAUUUAAGAAGCUUGAGGAGACUAAGCGUCUCAAAGUAACCUUAGUAGAAGAUGAAAUUACUUAUUAUGAACAUGUAUAUAUAAUUAAACCACGAGUGAUCUAGGCUCAUCCACAAAAGCUUUUAAGACCUGUCCACGAGUUGAGAUGAUUUUGAUGUUGCAUGCUUAUCCUCAAGUUUGAUGUGUUGGGGUUGUGCAUGCCCAUACAAGAAUACUCCACUUACCCACUAGCAUUUCAAGCUCUAUUACAAAGUUAAGAUAAAUUUUAGAUAUAAUUUGUUUAUGUACUUUAAUGUAAGAAUUAUGAAUUUAACAAUUAUGAAUGAGUGUUUAUAAAUUAUAAAUUGUUGAGUUGGUUAUUUGUGAAAAUAAAUUGAGAAGCUAAAAAAAUUGCAUUGGGUAUUUUAUUUUUUUUAGGGUCGCAGAUAUAACAUUUAAUUAUUCAAACUAUAUUUCUUUUCUACAUAUUUCUAUCCUUAUUAUUUUUAUUUUUUAACUUGCUAAAUUAAAAAAAAAAAAAAAAAAACGUGUCUCUGAAUUGAGUGUCCGUAAAUAACAAGUACCACAGCUGUUGCAUGGAUCCCGAGAAACAACAGUAGGAUAGCUGUAUCAUCACAUGUCUAUGUUGUUUGACUUUCAAUAACAAUAGCUCCCACGCUACCCAGUGUCUCGAGCAUACACUCUUACACGGAGCAACUUGCAAGUUCUCGGAGCGUGGCAGCUACCUCAACGGAAUGCGAGAAUGGCAAGAGAUAGCACUGGUCGUGGCAAUCUAGGUUUCGAUGAAAAUUGUAUUUUAGGGGAUAGUUUUGAAACCGGACUAAUUUGAAAGGUCGACUCGGACCCGGUUGAUUCAGAUCUAAAAUCAGUCCGAAUUUAAGUAAAAAUUUAUUAAAAAGUUGGCCUGCUAAAAUCUGAUUAACCUAGCAAGUUUACUAAAAUAAACCAGAUUGAGACCCGACUUCUUUUUAUAUAUAUAUAUAAAUAUGAAACCACGUUGUUUUAGACUUUUAUUUUUUAUUUUUACAUUUUCUCAUAAACUAAACUGAGGAUAUCAAAUAGAUAAACUGUUCUCCCGAAUCAAUGAAAUUAGAUGCAGUUGCUCCC
rnacentral:lncRNA from 1 species